rnacentral:rRNA from 1 species
UACCUGCUAGCUGUGACGUUACUGACAGAAGAAGCACCGGCUAACUCCGUGCCAGCAGCCGCGGUAAUACGGAGGGUGCGAGCGUUAAUCGGAAUUACUGGGCGUAAAGCGUACGCAGGCGGUUUGUUAAGCGAGAUGUGAAAGCCCCGGGCUCAACCUGGGAACUGCAUUUCGAACUGGCAAACUAGAGUGUGAUAGAGGGUGGUAGAAUUUCAGGUGUAGCGGUGAAAUGCGUAGAGAUCUGAAGGAAUACCGAUGGCGAAGGCAGCCACCUGGGUCAACACUGACGCUCAUGUACGAAAGCGUGGGGAGCAAACAGGAUUAGAUACCNNNGGUAGUC